rnacentral:rRNA from 1 species
UACGGGGGAGCAAGCGUUGUUCGGAUUUACUGGGCGUAAAGGGCGCGUAGGCGGCCACCGCAAGUCGACUGUGAAAUCUCCGGGCUUAACCCGGAAAGGUCAGCCGAUACUGCGGGCUAGAGUGCAGAAGGGGCAACUGGAAUUCUCGGUGUAGCGGUGAAAUGCGUAGAUAUCGAGAGGAACACCUGCGGCGAAGGCGGGUUGCUGGGCUGACACUGACGCUGAUGCGCG